CUAUGCCUGAGUAGGAUGAAGCCGGAGGAAACUCUGGUGGAGGUCCGAAGCGCUUUUGACGUGCAAAUCAAUCGUCAGACUUGGGUAUAGGGGCGAAAGACUAAUCGAACCAUCUAGUAGCUGGUUCCCUUCGAAGUUUCCCCCAGGAAAGCUGGUGCCAUGUUUGACAGUUUUAUCUGGUAAAGCGAAUGAUUAGAGGCAUUGGGGACGAAUUGUCCUCGACCUAUUCUCAAACUUUAAAUGGGUAAUGUACCGUUGUACUUCUUGAUAUUCAUGAGUGCUCGGUCAAAUGCAAUGGCGCCAAGUGGGCCAUUUUUGGUAAGCAGAACUGGCGAUGUGGGAUGAACCAAACGUUGAGCUAGGAUGCCCAAAGUGCUUCUCAUGAGAUACCAUGAAAGGUGUCAGUCGAUAUUGACAGCAGGACGGUGGCCGCAGAAGUAGGAAUCCGCUAAGGAGUGUGUAACAACUCACCUGCCGAAUCGACUGGUCCUGAAAAUGGAUGGCGCUGGAGACGUAUAUCCAUGCUCGACCGUCAAUGCCAACGAAAGCGAUUGCUAUAUGGCUUGACGUGUAGAAGGGCGAUUGCCGUGGCGUCGAAACUUGCACCGUGAGGUGGGGUAGAGCUGCGGCAUGUGCAGAUCUUGGUGGUAGUAGCAAGUAUUCAAAUGAGAGCAUUGAAGACUGAAGUGGAGUAAGGUUCCAUGUGAACAGCAUUUGGACAUGGAUCAGCCGAUCCUAAGAGAACGUGUAAGUUCGUGAUUAAGCGCGUCGCCUUGUGCGUCGCAAUCGAAAGGGAAUCGGGUUAAUAUUCCCGAGCCAGGAUACGGAAUGAGCCUGAUUAAUCGAAAGUACCUUGUGUGCUUUUGACUUCAGGCAAAAGCGGCAACGCCAACAAACCCAGAGAUUAACUAUGCGAAGUCCGGGGAAGAGUUUUCUCUUCUUUGUAAGGGAUGUUAUCCCUGGAAACAGAUUGUCUGGCGAUAGGGUACGCAUCCCGUAAUGCAACGCGAUUCCUGCGAUGUACCGUGCGCUUCGUAUAGUGCUUGAAAAUCUGGGAGCGAGUUUGUUCAGGCCGUACCUGUUCGUACUGAUUUCCGCAGCAGGUCUCCAAGGUGAGCAGCCUCUAGUCGAUGGGACAAAGUAGACAAGGGAAGUCGGCAAAUUAGAUCCGUAACUUCGGAAAAAGGAUUGGCUCUAAAGGCUGAGUUGGUCGGGCGGUUGCGUAAAGCUGGGAGCGAUGCUUUGACUCUGUCUCAGACUCCAUACUCGCAAGGGAUAUGUAAUCGGCGGCGGAGCUUAGUAUUUGCUCACUGUGGACCGCGGUCGCUAUGCCACCCAUGCGGUGUCAAAAUUCAUUUUCGAGCCGUGCGGUGUGGAUCCGAUCAGCGUUUAACAGCUGACCUAGAACUGGUAUGGACAAGGGGAAUCCAACUGUUUAAUUAAAACAAAGCAUUGCGAUAGCUGUAAUCGGUGUUGACGCGAUGUGAUUUCUGCCCAGUGCUCUGAAUGUUAAAGUGAAGGAACUCAUUAAAGCGCGAGUUAACGGCGGAAGUAACUAUGACUUUCUUAAGGUAGCCAAAUGCCUCGUCAUCUAAUUAGUGACGUGCAUGAAUGGAUUAUUGAGAUUCCUUCUGUCCCUGUCUGCAACCUAGCGAAACCACAGCCAAGGGAACGGGCUUGGAGAGUAACAGCGGGGAAAGAAGACCCUGUUGAGCUUGACUCUAGUCAGUCUUUGUGAAGAAACAUGAUGGGUGUAGAAUAGGUGGGAGGACGCGACAGUGAAAUACCACUACUAUCAUCGUUUCUUUACUUACUCAAUUGAUCAGGGAGCGUGAAUUCGCUAUUUGCGAUGUAUGAUUAUUCCUUCAGUGGAAUAAGUGUCUGGUUUGAGAACACAGACUGAUUGGGAGUUUGACUGGGGCGGUACAUCUGUUAAAAUCUAACGCAGGUGUCCUAAGGCAAUCUCAGCGUGGACAGAAACCUCGCAUAGAGCGAAAGGGCAAAAGAUUGCUUGAUCUUGAUUUUCAGUACGAAUAAAGACAAUGAAAGUUUGGCUUGUCGAUCCUUUUGAAUUUUACGAGUUUUAAGCAAGAGGUGUCAGAAAAGUUACCACAGGGAUAACU
rnacentral:rRNA from 2 species